UACGGGAGGCAGCAGUGGGGAAUCUUGGACAAUGGGCGCAAGCCUGAUCCAGCCAUGCCGCGUGAGUGAAGAAGGCCUUAGGGUUGUAAAACUCUUUCGCCGGAGAAGAUAAUGACGGUAUCCGGAGAAAAAGCCCCGGCUAACUUCGUGCCAGCAGCCGCGGUAA
rnacentral:rRNA from 1 species